AAGAUGUAUGCUCAUGCUCGCUGUCGUCGCAGGGGAAUCCGGUGCGAAUCCGGAACUGUCCCGCAACGGUGUACUUGUGCGUGUUCGUGUAUUGGACGUGCCCGCACACGUCUCAGUCCGAGGACCUGCCGACAGCGCACCCCGGCC
rnacentral:ncRNA from 2 species